CUCGUGGUGGAUGUACCGUAACGCACACUAGUAUGUACAAACGGUCCAGUUCUGAAGCGACGUCAUCAAUAACGCUAGGCAACCUUCGCCCGAAGAUGUAAUCUCUUCGCUAGCAUCGGCAAAUCGACCGUCUACUAGUACGGUCAAUCGUUCAAUCGUUAGCAACAAGCAGCUCUGUGCAUCAUCCCGACCUGUUUACAUGUUGAUUUCCGUUCAGAUUCCGUACCGUACAGUAAAGUCGUCCGGGUGGGCCUUUACUUCGAGCAGUUACUCGUGCAACGUCGCGCGGAUGAUGUGCUGUGGAGCAUCCACCCAAUAAUAGCUACAGUGGACCAAAACCGCGAAAUAAUGGACGACAACUCAAAAGGUCACAAGAUGCUGCUGCUGCUAUUGCUAGCAUCGAUGUUGGGCGGUAAUAUUGGAGCUGUGGUGCUUGCACCGCAACAGCUGGAACAAACAUCCCUCCACGAACGACUCACAGCGCUGGAGAAUAGAAUUACGCUACGCGAUGAGGAACUCGGCCGAAUGCUUCAGCUGCUGCUCGCCAAUCAGAAAGAAAUUCUCAAGCAACUCCAGCAAAACCCAUGCUCCAAAAUUCCUGCUCCAACGGACGGCACUCAACAUCCAACUGGAUCUGCUGGAUGUGUAAGACCCUGUGCCCGAUAUCCAUCGUUUACCAACACACUGGAUGUGGGAUUUUCGCUCAACACCGACAACUCUACGGCUAAAGCUGGCGCCUAUCAAGAUUUGCACAGUUCCGACAGCUAUCCAAGAAGUUGUCGGGAAAUUGAAGACGGUAUGUCGGGUGAGGAAACGAUCUACCCGAAUGCCCGACCGGGUGGACCGGGUGAACCGCUCGAGGUGUACUGCGAUCAGGACUUUGAAGGUGGCGGCUGGAUUGUGAUACAGAACCGCUUCGAUGGGUUUGUCAACUUCAACCGCAGCUGGGAGAAAUACCGGGACGGGUUCGGAGACAUCGGUACGGAGUACUGGCUCGGGUUGGAUAAAAUCCAUCGGCUAACGGUGGCAGCACCGCACGAGAUUGCGUUCGUUGCGGAGAGCUUCCGCGGGGAGCGUCGCUGGGCCCGGUACAGUCUGUUCGAGAUCGGUGGUGAGACGGACCGGUACCGGUUACAGAAGCUGGGCGUGUACACCGGUACGCUGGGGGAUGAGUUCACCUACAACAAGGGUAUGGAGUUCUCGACCUACGAUCAGGACCACGACCAGUACGCGGAUGUGAACUGUGCGCUCCGGACGGCGGCUGGUUGGUGGCAUCGGAGCUGUACCCGUAUCAACCUGAACGGUAUGUACGGGAAUGAGUCGGGCGUACGGUUUGCCUACUGGCUUGACUGGCUCCAUCUGCAGGGAUUAAAGCGAACCCGCAUCAUGAUCCGGCGAACGCACCAACCGAACGGAUUUCACGGCCGAUGAGGUGUUGAGUCUUCGAAAAUAGGACGCCACUGGUCGUGUACCUUCAUCAACAGUCGGGAACAGACAAGAUGCUACCAGAAAAAAAAUAAAUGCAACGUUAGCAGAUGUCACGACCCAAGCAAAAACCUCAGUACCGCAAUCAAUCUUUACAUCACAACGCACAACAGCGCAACAAACAAACGUGAAGGCCUCUAUCGUUGAAAUGCCUCUCAGGCAUCGGUCUAGGCAGCGUCAAGUCUUUUGGUUCGUGCAUCUCAUCCGUCCACUAUAUGAACCCCGGUCUGUUUUUCGAACUGUUUUGUGUCAGCCCAUUAUCCGAAGGUCCGUGCUAGUGUUGUGUUUUUUUUUGUUUCGUGAAAACGCGUGGGAAUUAUUGGUACGAAUUUGCUUUUUCACAUUCCACCACACCGACACCACCCCGAUUUGCUUCCCCCCCUCCCGGGGGUUUGCGAGUGCAAAACCGCGUAAUAGCACGUUUGGCGCAAUGUGCGCACAAAAAUAGAGCUGUCAUAUUUGUUAUGCUCCAAUUAUUUUUCCGCGCUCAUUGCGAUUUCAUUGCAAGGGUUCUGUGUGCUUCCAAUCGGUUCCCAGUGUGUGUGUGUGUGUGUGUUUGCUAGACGCGAUAAAGCGAUAGUGAGAGAGUAGCGACUCCUCUUCCCAGUUUGUUUGAAGUGCGCCGCAAAAGUCUGCUCCGCAGACCAGGAAAAACUUUAAACCUUUAAGCUACGUACUACCAUCACAUACGGUGUAGGUGUGUUUAAACGCAAAGGAAAAGCAUCAACGCACAGUAAACACAUGUGCAACAAACUUUCGUACAUUAUUUCGUACAUUCGAGUCGUCGACUGUAGUGAUGGAUAUAUUCACUUUUGGAGAGAAAAAGUACACAUUGGAAAGAUUUCACCUAAAUGGAGACGCCUAGUUGCCCAUCAACACAUGGAGACGCAUGAAAUAUUCACAUUUGGCAAGAAAAAAAUAACACUGGAAAGUUUUCGUCUAAAUGGAGACGCCUGGUUGCCCAUCAACACAUGGAGACGCAUGGUAUCUCACGAUUAUACUUCUACCAACAAACCCAUCCAUGCGCUGGUAAACACUCCUGGCUGAAUAAAACGUUACCAUCGCGGAAAAGGACGACCGGUGCGACGGUACAAAACAGGUGCAAAUUCCUUCAUUCACCGUGCGCUUUUGUACCGUGCGUAUCGACGGUUAGCAUCGAUGCACGUCGGCAUUCGUGGCAUUCCGGCGGACAUUCUCCAAAACAACGUCCCGCGUUUUACCAACUCACGCGCUCACCACCAGCUACGAGAGGGUCGCGUUUACGUACCGUCUGGAGAAAUUCCCAUCAGUGCCGUGGUAGCAAACAUUCCGUCCGGACUUAUCCUAGCGAAUAUGGUAAAAGUCACCAGCAGUACAUGCGAAUCAGCAAGCGGCUCAUUGCUCAUCCGAUAUUAGUACUAUUAUGCGUUGUUUUCUCUGUCUCUCUCUCCCUCUCUCUAUCUCUCUAUCAUUCCCGCGAAAGGGUACCUAAGCUCGCGAACAAUUCAACCGCGAAACGGUAAUAGAACCGGAACAGGUUCCCCAUAAAGCAAGCUCGUCCAAAUUAAAGUGACGAAUGGAUGAUCGUUUCCCGACUCGCGUUUCACAAUAGCUCGAAGGCUAAUCACUUCUGUGACCCUUGUAUAAAGUACAAGCGAAGGUUCGCACUGAAGGUUCAUUCAAGUUGAGGGUAUUCAAGAUAUACUAGACUCCAGAUAAAAAUGUGCUUCUAAUAAUCGAUCGAUAGACCUUUGCAAAACACAAACCAUUUUCUUUUUUUCCUUUCAGUAAAACGAAUAGAAAUAUCUCAAACCUGAUCUUUGUGUUGCACAAAACAAUCUUCUUGAUUUUGUACCGUUGCGGAACAACAUGGCAACAUGGAAGAUUCCAUGGAAGAUAGCAACUACACGUCGUAUGCAAAUAAAACCGAAUGUUGCAACGGAACGGGCGAUGGGAAGAAAUUAAACGCCACCAGAGAAAAGACAAAACCACCACCGAGCAACAAACAUUAACAACAACAAAAAAGUAAACAAAAACAUGACUCUUGCCACCAUUGAACAUAAAUAUUUAUAUAUUAGAUAGCCUCCUGUCCGCUGUUACGCGUGGAAAUCAUCAUUUCCGAGUGCGAAAAAGCGAUGGGAAAACCCGGUGCCGAAAACCGAAGGGUAAGGAACACUGCGCGAGACGGAACGGGUUUAUACCAUUUACAUUUCGUUUAAGGGGUUGGCACCCUUCAAAUUUACAUCCUCCAGCAACAACAAAAGCAGCCAAAAAAAGCACAAACUUCCCUUUUACUGCGGACUACUAGGUUGGGAAAAUAAAUUAGAAAAUAAAAUAAAACGCCACACGGGCUUUAUUAGCAUGCGAUGCGGACACCAGUACCGGUUAGAUGUUCGUUCGUAUUUGGGCUUUCGUUCUCCUUCGCCUAACCAUACCUCACACCUAACACUAACGCACGGAGGAUGCUCUUUUCUUGUUUCAAAACCUUUUACCUUUUUGUUUUGCUUCUUUACUUUCAUAGAUGGAAACAUUUUACACAUCCCAAAAACCGACCUUCGACCUUCCUUGUCGAACAUUAAAUUUUUGGCGUGGUUGCGUAGUGAUCUACUCGGACGGGAGGAUGGAACUUCUAACAUUAUAAUGCAGUGCGAUAUAAAUCUGGGUAGCAGGCGAACCAAUAAUUGCUGUAUACACUUCAAAUAAAGGGAUUAUCGAGGAGAAACAUUAAUUAUUGAGUCAGUGGUUUGGAGACGUGAAUUUGAAAGUUUGAAAGAGUUUGAAACAUAAGCUAGUCCAAAUUGUUGAGGAGUACGUAGAGGCUUUGCAAUAAUUCAAUAAUCAGUGUAUAUAGUGUAUACCUGCUACGAGCAGAUUUGGCAGCACUGACACAGCAACGGAAAAUACAAUAAAUUCUAAGAUAAUAAAUAAGAAAGCCAUAAACAGAAUUCAAAAUAGCGGCUCGUUGAAAGAAGCAAUUAUAUGAUUUUUAAUAAAGUUUUAAUUAUUGAA